rnacentral:rRNA from 1 species
AUUGACGGUACUGUACGAAUAAGGAUCGGCUAACUCCGUGCCAGCAGCCGCGGUAAUACGGAGGAUGCAAGCGUUAUCCGGAUUCAUUGGGUUUAAAGGGUGCGUAGGCGGAAUAUUAAGUCAGAGGUGAAAUCCUGCAGCUCAACUGUAGAACUGCCUUUGAUACUGGUUGUCUUGAAUUUAGUUGAAGUAGGCGGAAUGUGUAAUGUAGCGGUGAAAUGCAUAGAUAUUACAUAGAACACCGAUUGCGAAGGCAGCUUACUAACCUUUAACUGACGCUGAGGCACGAAAGCGUGGGGAGCGAACAGGAUUAGAUACCCUGGUAGUCCACGCCGUAAACGAUGAUCACUCGCUG